rnacentral:ncRNA from 1 species
UUUAUGGAGAGUUUGAUCCUGGCUCAGGACGAACGCUGGCGGCGUGCCUAACACAUGCAAGUCGAACGGUCUGCUGUUGAAAGCUUGCUGGAUGCAGUAGAAAGUGGCGGACGGGUGAGUAACGCGUGAAUACCUGUCCAUCGGAGGGGGACAACGGCUGGAAACGGCCGCUAAUACCGCGUAAGCCGAGAGGUGAAAGGCCACGGUAGUGGUUGCCGAUGGGGGGGUUCGCGUCCUAUCAGCUAGUUGGUGGGGUAAGGGCCUACCAAGGCUAAGACGGGUAGCCGGU